rnacentral:lncRNA from 1 species
GACGUCACGGGCGGCGCCUCACGGCCAGGACCAUGAAAGGCACUGAAUACAUCUGAAAGGCUGUGGGGCAGAUGCCUAUAUAUUUCACUUGGAAGGGAAAAUAAACGAUGUUGUUCAAACCUUGUGAGAUGUACCUAUCCAGGUACGCUUCCUGCCAGCAUGGGUGAAGUUUUCCAUUGUGUAAACUCCUUGAAGAUGCAAACGCUUCAUUUGAGCUCACGUGAUGUUUGGAAAGGUUCCAUUAUGGCAGUAACAAGCGCAACCCUGAAAACAUGUGCAAGUCCAGUUACAGACAUUAAGCUUGUUAGCAAACAGUAAUUCUUGACAGACGGAUUGAAAGAGCAGAGAAACAACUCCCCCCAGAUGCUUGAAAGUCAGACUUCUGGCCUCCAGCCAAAGAGCUGCUCCAGAGCCUUUCUCCUCCCAUGAUCAGGCAGUCUCCCAGUUGUCAAAAAAAGCAUCGGUUCAGCCAGUUUGUGCCUACUGAUAGUUUACAUGCCUGCACCUCAGUAAGUGGUUAAUGUAUCUAUCUAAUGUGGUAGCU